AUCAAUCGGGUUUUAAUCAAAUAUUGCUACUUGAUUAAUCAAAUUUUUACAUUUCAAUCGGAGAGACCUGAAGCACCUCCGUUCACUUCUGUUCCAACGAAGCAAGAGAGCGAGAGAGAGCGCGCACGCACCAAUCACGUGAGAAAAAAAAUUGCUAUCUAACGUUCUCACUCGUGAUUGGUCAAUUCUUAUGUAUACAAUAUGCUCUUAUUGGCCAUUUCAGAGCUCAUGAACAUAACUACUCCCAGCUCAUCUGAGUGUUGGUAACCUGGGUUACAUAUACAUAUCUUGAGUGAUUUAUGUACCCAUUAAUCGAAAGUGGUGGUUAACCUGCAACAUGGCCUUUAAAAACACGUUAUAAACACCAACAUGUGGAAGCCAAACUCUCACUGCGCGUGCACAUGCAUGUUCAACACAAUACAUUUGUAGAAGUGGAUUAAGGUAGUAAGGAGCUGUUCACCCUAUUCUGCUAUAAUAUACUGUACUAGGAACUGCAAGAUCUAGGGGGUCUGAAAAACAUCUCUGUGGAGCUUCCUGAUUGGCCAGUUAGUGAUGACACAGUGCUUCAUUUGGCAACUGCUGAGGCUCUAGCAACAGGAAAAGCAGGCGAGGAGCUACUGCAUGAGGUUGCUUUCCGAUAUGUGGAAGGAAUGAGGGACAUGGAAGGGAGGAAGCCAGGACCUUCAAGUAUUCUAGGUGCAGAAUCCAGAAAUGUUGUCUUAUGUUGGAAUGAAAGAAAGUAGCAGAUGAAGUGCCUCUUAUGCUUACACAAAGAUGGAGGAAAGAGUUCCUGGAAGAAAUAAAGAAAACUUAACUUGCUGCUCAAACUGUGUAGAAAUAAGAAAUAAGCAUUUCUGUGUGUGAAUUUCAUCUGAGGUUUGGCCUAUAGAUCGGUGUAAUCUAAAUGUUCACGUUCGUUAUUUCUACGGUUGAUGUUUUCAUUGUCAUCUUUAUUUAUGUAGUGCUUUCAACAAUGCAGAUUGUGUCAAAGCAACUGAAUUAAAUUGGAAAAUAGUGUCUCAAUCAUGCAAAAAAGCAGUUCAUUAUUGAAUUCAGUGUCAUAAUCCAGCUCAAUUCAGUUUAAGUAGUAUCUGUGCAGUCAAAUCGAUGAUGUCAUUGGAAAUUAACUGUCCCCAUCUAAGCAAGCCAGAGGCAACAGUGGCAAGGAACCAAAACUACAUCAGUCUCUGAAGCUCUUCUAGUUGUCCUGGUUCUCCGCUGACAUUCAGGGCUGAAGAGGUCCUCUCUAGGUCCU